CACCAGAGUACCAAUUGGAGGGCAAGUCUGGUGCCAGCAGCCGCGGUAAUUCCAGCUCCAAUAGCGUAUAUUAAACUUGUUGCAGUUAAAAAGCUCGUAGUUGAAUUUCAGCGUUUCGCGUGUGCCUCUUUUGGCCCAUCUCGUCUCGCUUUUUUUAUUACUUUGAGAAAAUUAGAGUGUUUCAAGCAGGCUUUUGUCUUGAAUACUUGAGCAUGGAAUAAUAGAGUAGGACCUUGGUUCUAUUUUGUUGGUUUUGUUACCUUGGUAAUGGUUAAUAGGAACGGUUGGGGGCAUUCGUAUUUAACUGUCAGAGGUGAAAUUCUUAGAUUUGUUAAAGACGAACUACUGCGAAAGCAUUUGCCAAGGACGUUUCCAUUAAUCAAGAACGAAAGUUAGGGGAUCGAAGACGAUCAGAUACCGUCGUAGUCCUAACCAUAAACUAA
rnacentral:rRNA from 1 species